AACCAUACAGUCAAUCUAUCGCCUCACCAUCGCAACCUUGUCACAUCUAGGCAUUCAGAAUACAACCACCCCAUCAAUCUACCGCCUCGCUAUCGCAACCUUGUCAGAACUCGCCUCAAUUCUUCCAACUCCACCCUACCAUUCGAGAUACAACCAUCUCGCGGACCUAUCUCCUCGCCAUAUUAACCUUGUCACAUCUCGGUAUGUCCUUGCUCCAUCUUCAUCCCAACCAUUCAACUCUUCAUGCCUAGGUUGUUUGUUUAUUUACAUGGCCAUUUGUUUAGUGAUUACUUUGAUCAGAUCCGAAUGAGCCAUGAGUGACAUAUAUGCUUGUAUUGUUUCCUAACUAUAAUGUUUUUACUGUUCAUUUAUGUAUCCCCACGAAUUAUAAAAGGUAUAUAGUUCAACCCUUUUCCAUAGUUAUCAGAUUUUACACAAUGAUGUUUACCUUGACUGCAGUGA